AGCCCCCUAGUCUAGCUGGUCAAGGAUGCCGGCCUCUGAAGCCGGAGACGCCGGUUCGAAUCCGGCGGGGGCUA
rnacentral:tRNA from 2 species